GACGAACGCUGGCGGCGUGCUUAACACAUGCAAGUCGAACGAUGAACCGGUUUCGGCCGGGGAUUAGUGGCGAACGGGUGAGUAACACGUGGGCAAUCUGCCCUGCACUCUGGGACAAGCCCUGGAAACGGGGUCUAAUACCGGAUACGACAUGGGAAUGCAUGUUCCUGUGUGGAAAGCUCCGGCGGUGCAGGAUGAGCCCGCGGCCUAUCAGCUAGUUGGUGGGUAGAGGCCUACCAAGGCGACGACGGGUAGCCGGCCUGAGAGGGCGACCGGCCACACUGGGACUGAGACACGGCCCAGACUCCUACGGGAGGCAGCAGUGGGGAAUAUUGCACAAUGGGCGAAAGCCUGAUGCAGCGACGCCGCGUGAGGGAUGACGGCCUUCGGGUUGUAAACCUCUUUCAGCAGGGAAGAAGCUUUCGGGUGACGGUACCUGCAGAAGAAGCACCGGCUAACUACGUGCCAGCCGCCGCGGUAA
rnacentral:rRNA from 1 species